UGCAGGGAGGGUAAAAGUACAGAACAAGACUUGAAUUUGGAAAUCCUGGUCUGGCACUUAAAGCUUUUCUGGCCCUACGGUGAGAUCCAUGCAGGCACAAAACCCUUUCUAGAUUGCAGUUCACUGCCCCUGACUUAAGCAAUCCAAAAAAAAAAAAAAAAAAGUGUGGGGGAGGCAAGGUGGGAGUUGUCAUUAAAAUACCUAAUUGUACGUGCAUACUUGGAGGUGUGAGAGCCCAAGAUCCCAUUACAGACAGUGGAGAACUCAGGCUCAGCUCAGCUCAGUGCCGUUUGAGAUGCCCUUAUGCAUCCUGUCUGCUUCCCAGUUACCAGGAUUUGUUGUUGGCUAUUCAUGCACCCUGAUUCCCAGAAGAAGCAGCAGUCCCUGGAUGCGAGAAGACAUCACCAGCUGACCUUGGACAUUAUCCGUGUACUUAUUGUACCUCACUGCAGAUAUGUCCUAAACAAAGAGCUGACUUAUAAACAUUAAAAAGAUUCUAUGAUAAAUGUUAA